rnacentral:rRNA from 1 species
CCUACGGGGGGCAGCAGUGGGGAAUAUUGGACAAUGGGCGAAAGCCUGAUCCAGCCAUGCCGCGUGUGUGAAGAAGGCCUUCGGGUUGUAAAGCACUUUCAGUGGGGAAGAAAGCCUUGGGGCUAAUACCCUCGAGGAAGGACAUCACCCACAGAAGAAGCACCGGCUAACUCCGUGCCAGCAGCCGCGGUAAUACGGAGGGUGCGAGCGUUAAUCGGAAUUACUGGGCGUAAAGCGCGCGUAGGCGGUCUGAUAAGCCGGUUGUGAAAGCCCCGGGCUCAACCUGGGAACGGCAUCCGGAACUGUCAGGCUAGAGUGCAGGAGAGGAAGGUAGAAUUCCCGGUGUAGCGGUGAAAUGCGUAGAGAUCGGGAGGAAUACCAGUGGCGAAGGCGGCCUUCUGGACUGACACUGACGCUGAGGUGCGAAAGCGUGGGUAGCAAACAGGAUUAGAUACCCUAGUAGGCC